rnacentral:lncRNA from 1 species
UUCAUCUCAAGGGCAGCGCAUUAUACACAGAUAUGGUAACUCUGGACUCAGAAGCGGAGGAUGAACUCCAAUGGUGGCUUCUUCACAUGGAAGCUUGGAAUGAGCGCACCAUAUUUUGUACAGCUCCAGAUUUCAAGUCCGAUGCAAGUUUGCACGGUUGGGGUGCUCAAUGCUGUAAUAUUUCCACCAAGGGCAGAUAAUCAAACCUGGAAUCGACACUCCACAUCAAUUGUUUGGAACAUCUGGCCCAUUCCUUUGCUGUCUGCAGUUUCACCCCAACUCAAGCCCAAUGCGCUAUCCUUCUGAAGAUGGACAACGUGUCAGCAGUCAGUUACAUCAAUCACUUGGAGGCACAAAAUACAAAAUUC